GAUGAACGCUGGCGGCGUGCCUAAUACAUGCGAGUCGAGCGAACAGAUAAGGAGCUUGCUCCUUUGACGUUAGCGGCGGACGGGUGAGUUACACGUGGAUAACCUACCUAUAAGACUGGGAUAACUUCGGGAAACCGGAGCUAAUACCGGAUAACAUAUUGAACCGCAUGGUUCAAUAGUGAAAGGCGGCUUUGCUGUCACUUAUAGAUGGAUCCGCGCCGUAUUAGCUAGUUGGUAAGGUAACGGCUUACCAAGGCAACGAUACGUAGCCGACCUGAGAGGGUGAUCGGCCACACUGGAACUGAGACACGGUCCAGACUCCUACGGGAGGCAGCAGUAGGGAAUCUUCCGCAAUGGGCGAAAGCCUGACGGAGCAACGCCGCGUGAGUGAUGAAGGUCUUCGGAUCGUAAAACUCUGUUAUCAGGGAAGAACAAAUGUGUAAGUAACUGUGCACAUCUUGACGGUACCUGAUCAGAAAGCCACGGCUAACUACGUG
rnacentral:rRNA from 1 species